rnacentral:rRNA from 1 species
UACGGAGGAUCCGAGCGUUAUCCGGAUUUAUUGGGUUUAAAGGGUGCGUAGGUGGUUUGAUAAGUCAGCGGUGAAAGUUUGCAGCUUAACUGUAAAAAUGCCGUUGAAACUGUCGGACUUGAGUGUAAAUGAGGUAGGCGGAAUGCGUGGUGUAGCGGUGGAAUGCAUAGAUAUCACGCAGAACUCCGAUUGCGAAGGCAGCUUACUAAGGUACAACUGACGCUGAAGCACGAAAGCGUGGGUAUCAAACAGG